AUGUUCACUGUUUUACUCUUGUGUCUGUGGCUUUUACUGGGAGACUCCAUGGCAGAUUCAGUAGAGACACUUUUCUCCCAUAAAACUGUAGAUGAAGGUGAUGUUGUUACUCUGUCCUGCAGAUACACAACAAGUGCUCCAACAUACUCCUUGCAGUGGUACAAGCAAGCUCCAAAAUCUACACCUAAGUUUCUUCUUUAUAUCUUACAAAGUGGAUAUAAAAGUGAUGCCAUUCCAUCAGGUCUGUCUGUUGAAAUUGACAUUAAUAAUAAAAGAGUGGAUCUGAUCAUCUCCUCUGCUGCUGUAUCAGACUCUGCACUAUACUACUGUGUGUCCGUUGAAAAAUCUGAUUCACUUUGA